ACCUGCCCUAUGAAUAAUUUGCUUUUAAAUGGCUGCGGUACCCUGACCGUGCAAAGGUAGCAUAAUAAUUAGUUUCUUAAUUGGGAACUGGAAUGAAUGGUCGAACGAGAAAAAGACUGUCUCAAUUUAAUUUAAAUUAGAAUUUUAUUUUUAAGUAAGAAAGCUUAAAUAUACUUAAAAGACGAGAAGACCCUAUAGAGUUUUAUAUAAAUUAUUAUGAUUGAAAGUUAAAGUAUUAUAGAUUUGAUUAUAAUAAUUUAUAUUUGGUUGGGGCGAUUAAAAAAUUUAACGAACUUUUUUUAGAUUAAACCAUUGAUUUAUGAGUAGGUGAUCCAUAUUUUAUGAUUAAAAGAUU
rnacentral:rRNA from 1 species